AUUUAGAGAUAUCAACUACCAAACAUGUAUUUCCUAUCCUUAUUCGUAGUAGCAUCAUCUUACAUAAUGCUAUCUAUCAAAGUUUUUGGCUAUCCGCUCAGUCAAUUUUAUCCUUUUGGCCUGACUGCAGGAGACAGCAGUUUACCAGGCAAUGAUGAUGGAUCUACCUCAAGUAUUCUUAUAUCUGUACCAUUUCCAUUCUUUGGGCCAUCGUAUCGUUUCAUCUUUGUCAAUAACAACGGUGACGUUACAUUUGAUACCGAAUUGACGCAGUAUACCGCACAAGCCUUUCCUAUAAAUGGAUCGCAUAAAAUGAUUGCUGCAUUUUGGACGGAUAUAGAUACUGAUCCGGGAGGGUCUCUGUGGUAUCGAACAUCAACAGAUUCAUCCAUUUUACAGCUAGGAACAAACAUAAUUCGUACUACAUUUCCUAGUUUUGUAACUUUCUCCGCCACUUGGAUGAUGGUCGUCACAUGGGAAGAAGUUGCUGCAUAUGGCUGCUCGAAUACCAGUAUAAUAACCUGUCAGCAGGUUGGAAUCAAUGCUGGUGAUGGAAUAAAUUACUAUUCUGUUCCUGGUUCCAUGAAAGACAGCAUGUUAAAUCUUACUCAAAUGUCAAACGUUGGUGUUCCUGGCCAGUUUGUUUUCAGGGUGGAUGUAAGAGUGAAUCCAGAAUUCAAUUACUGCUACAGCUCGCCUUGUGUCUAUGGUAGUUGUUCAGAGCUUAUCAAUGGUUAUGUAUGCAACUGUACACCGGGAUAUAUGGGAAGUCGCUGUGAUACCAAUAUAGACGAGUGUGCAGCUCAACCUUGUCAGAACCAUGGGACUUGUGUAGAUCUGAUAAACAAUUACCAAUGUCAUUGUACAGACGGAUUUAAUGGAACGCACUGUUUAAAUAAUAUUGAUGAUUGCGUACCAGAUCCUUGUCAAAACAACGGUACAUGUACAGACCUUGUCAAUGACUACCAAUGCUACUGUGUGGCAGGAUUUAAUGGCACAAAUUGUGAUUUCAAUAUUGACGAGUGUGCAUCUCAGCCCUGUCAGAACAAUGGAACUUGUGAAGAUCUUAUCAAUGAUUACCAAUGUCGUUGCAAAGACGGAUUUAAUGGAACAACCUGCUUAAACAAUAUAGAUGACUGCAUACCAGUACCUUGUCAAAACAACGGUACGUGUACAGACCUUGUCAACGACUACAACUGUGAUUGUGUACUAGGAUUCAAUGGAACAGACUGUGAAAACAACAUCGAUGAUUGUGAAUCUCAACCUUGUCAGAACAACGGGACCUGUACAGAUAUGAUCAAUGAUUACUUAUGUCAUUGUACAGUCGGGUUUAAUGGAAGAAACUGUUCAAAUAUUAUUCCUAGAUUGGUGCUUAUCAUGACACCACAGUACGACUUUUCAAUUAUGACGGUAGAGAAAAUCAAUCUUCAGUGUACAGUCAGUAAUCCCGAGUCAUUGCUAGAUGUUACUAAUGGAAGUCUUGUGAUGACUAAAGAUGGGACCGUGUUAACAGGAAUGGCAAUACGGUAUUGUACACAACUUGGAGUGUGGGAAUCUCCAAGCCUUAUUAAUUGCACAACUGAAGCUUUCACGAGCGCUUCAUCAGAGAUGGAUGCAAUAAUAGAAGAUGGUCUAGAAAACACUGAGAAGGUUCAGGAAGCCGUCAACAACACUCUACAAUUGAUGAAGAACCUUACCUCGUCGACUAAUGAGCUCAGUGCUGGGGAUCUGAGCUCUUCUCUGGACGUUUUAGAGAAAAUUGUCAACGUCACUAACUCUACUGGGUCAGCAAUCGAAAAAGAGGUGUUCUACGCUGUUAUAGACAAUGUUUUGUCACCUAAUAACUCAAAGUCUUGGACGACUGUCAGUAACAAGACGGAUAAAGACGCAAGCUCCAUUCUGAAGAAUAUGGAGCGCAUUAGUGAGGUUGUGAUGCAAAGAGGCAAUAUUACGGCAUCCCGAUUCAGUGGCUCAAAUUUCGAGCUAACUGUUAACCAAACGAAAAUAGAUGAAACUGGAAUACGUUUUCCGGUUGUGUCACCAAGCAACACGUCUGAAAUUACCAAAAAAAAUCCUACUUUUCUUGAACUACCAAAACAAAAUAUGAAAGCGGAAAAUGCAAUCAACUAUGUUGCUGUUAUAUAUAAAACGAUGUCAGAUAUAUUGCCAUCUGCUUCAGAUAGUGAUCAGAAUGGAGGGAAUUCAGAGCAGAAAUCGAAGAAAAAAACAUUCGUCAAUUCUCAGAUACUUUCUCUUACCACGCAAAAUGACUUAGGAGUAUUGGUUCCACCUCUGACUCUAACAUUUGGACACAUAACAAAUAAUGAAUCUACUAGAAUGCAAGCAAGAUGUGUCUCUUGGGAUUUUACCAAAAGCAAAUGGACAGAAAAAGGAUGUAACGUCAAACAAAGUGAUCAUAAGAAAACAGUUUGCCAGUGUAAUCAUCUUACCAAUUUUGCCAUUUUGAUGAGACCAUAUUCUCCUAUGAUAGAGGAUCACCAAUCGUUGAAAACAAUGUCUUUGGUUGGGGUGAUUCUCUCCAUAUUAUUUACAGCUCUUACUUUGGUUAUCUACAUCUUGACAUGGAGAUAUAUUAAAAGUGACCAAAACAUCAUCAUGAUGAACCUCUGUGGAUCGUUAAUUCUUUCCUAUUUGAUAUUUAUAUCAGCUGUUGAACAGAAAAGUAAUGAGGGAGCGUGCAUUGCUAUAACUGCAAUUAUCCACUACCUUUUCCUGGUCACAUUCCUUAGUAUGCUAGGAAUGGCUGUGUAUUACUUCAUCAGUAUAACGGUCACCUACUAUGCUAUGUAUGUUGCAAACAACUUUAAGUCUAAAUCCAGAAUUCAGUGGUUUUUGUUGGCAAUAUGGGGUAUCCCCAUCCUGAUUACAUCAAUAACUCUUGGAGCGUUUUGGGGAAAAGGUUACCACCUAGAAUCUUAUUGCUGGUUAAGCAUGGAAAGUGGUUCUCUUUACAUGUUCAUUAUCCCAGUCUGUUUAAUCAGCGUGUUAAACGUACUGAUAAUUGUCUCACUGGUAAGAGUGCUUUGUGCUUCAAGUGCAAUGAUGAAGUCUUCACUGCAGAAAAAGGCAACAUCCGGUCUGCGAUCACUUGGGACGCUACUACCAGUGCUAGGGGGGUUUUUCAUAUUUGUUUCGCACGUGUUGUUGAACAAAAAGGUAAUGCAAGGUUUGAGGAACAGAUACCCAGUCAUUAGUUCUCUUAUAAGUAUGGCUGAACACAGUAAACCGGAAUCCGCUUCUGUUUCACGAAGUCAGUCAACAUUAAAAUCUAAUGCACCAUUGGUGACAACAAAGAAAAGGGGUAUAUUUGAAAGAAUUCGUAAUAAUAAAGUAAAGAAAUCAGAAUCAUUUUUGACAGAAAGAACCGUAUCUACUGAUUGUCCUUCAAGUGUUUCCCAUGAAAAAAGCUCUGCGAUGCCUGAGAAUGUAUCUACUGACCACACGCUAAAACUUGUAGCAGAAGAGGAAAAUACGAAAAGAAGAUUUCAGUUUUCAUUCAAUUUUAACCCAUGGAAGAAAAAGUAUACAGUGACAGAAAUGUAAAAAGAACAUUUAAGACGUCUGCAAUUGUAAAAUACACUUAAAGACUCUUUAUAUUACAUUUUCAACUAGAGUCCAUGAACUAUUUCAAACAAUUAUCUAAUCGUGCUGCCACACAGAACAUUAAGGCUGUGAAAUAUUUCUGUCGUUUUUAAAGACAAAACCUUCA
rnacentral:sRNA from 1 species